UUUUUAUUUUUGUACACAAGUUAUACAUAGUUCGUGAGUUCAUGGUUAAGUAGUAUUAUCGUCAAAACGUCUCUAUAAUCCAUAUUACACAAAGACAGUUUUCUCUUAGUUUUAACUGUAAGGACCAAUUUUGGCCCGGACCUGCUAGAAACCCAAAGAAAUGUAUAAAAUACAUAAAUAAAUAAAUAAAUAAACCACAGCCCGUUAAAAUGUCCUUUUUACAGUCCCUCAGUCCAAUUACAUGGCCUAAAACCAACACCCUACAGCCCAAUAUCAAUUACAAGUCCCUUAGGCCCAGUAUUUGGGGAAAAGAAACCCUAGGGCUUCCUUCUCAUCCUUGCGCCGCAGCCUUCACCAGGUAGCCAAGCCCCAGCCCGCACGUCAGCCGCCUCCGUACCCGCGCCAGCACAGCUCCGUACGGCCUCCUGGCGCCACGCCCACGCCCCAAAUGCCAGCACGAUCCCUGUACACGCACCUGUACCUGCAAACAAACAAGGCAGACGCGACAGCAAAUAGAAAAAAAGAAAAACAUAUUGUAUUUUCUUUAAUUUUUAACAUUCGGCUAUAAAGCCUACCGAUUCUGAUUGUAAAGGGGUUCCCCUUUUGAAAAUAUAUAGAGAACCUACGCAAUAGCAAAGCAAAAAAAGAAAUAGACGAAAAUAAGGUGAUUUUCCCUUCUCUUUUUUUAAUUCUCCGCUCUUCCUGUUUUUAUUUACUCGAGUCCUCUGUUACUUUAUCAUCAAAAAGAAAAAAGAAAGUGACGAAGCUUACCUGCGUUCCGAAGCGUUCGAGUCCCCGCUUGUUUCGCCACCAUCGAAACACAGUGGCGAUUUGGGGCUGGUAGGCAAGACCCACGAAUCCCCUCAGUUCAAUAAAGCCUCGAUUGACCGUUCUAAGGGGUUGAAAGGAGAGGCAGAUGAACAAUCGUGGGUAACCAUCGGUCGGCCGAAUAUUGAAGAGAGGAGUUUUGAUCUUUUUUUUGUUUUCCUCAUAUGAGCGGCUGAUGGAAAAAGGGUUAGGGUUUGGAGCAUUGAAAGUCUGAUGAAAUGGGGGUUUUAUAUGCGCGUGGGAACGACGUCGUUUAAGGCUUUGUCCCCACGGCCUCAAAACGGCAUCGUAUAAGCCUAUUUGAUCCGACCCGAUCCUUUGGCCCUGGGAUCCGCGCGUUUUCGAGGUGAGGGGGUAUUUUCAGCACAGGUCCUUCCUCGUUUAUGCGAUAUUUCAAUCAACCAUUUUGUAUUACUCUCGUUCUUUCUAAAUUCGCCCCAUAAAUUCAUACAUAAGUGCAUGUUAAUCCGCGUCUAAACGCGGUGUUUCGGGAUCUGGCAUAUUGCCAGUUUUGGUCCCCGCACGAUCGCGCGAGUUGCGCUUUAAUCCUUCCCCUAAUUUCAGCAGUAUAUUUUAUUUAUUAAAUGUUCUUUUAGUUUGAUUUCAUUUUAAUUAAGUCCUUUUGAUCCGUAUAGUUCAUUUUCUUUUUUUAAUCAACUUAAUAUAUAUAUAUUUUUUACAAUAUGUGUGUACAUGUUUUUUAGUUAUCGUGAUAAUUCCC
rnacentral:lncRNA from 1 species